rnacentral:rRNA from 1 species
GCAUAUCAAUAAGCGGAGGAAAAGAAACCAAAAGGGAUUGCCUCAGUAGCGGCGAGUGAAGCGGCAAGAGCUCAGAUUUGAAAUCGUGCUUUGCGGCACGAGUUGUAGAUUGCAGGUUGGAGUCUGUGUGGAAGGCGGUGUCCAAGUCCCUUGGAACAGGGCGCCCAGGAGGGUGAGAGCCCCGUGGGAUGCCGGCGGAAGCAGUGAGGCCCUUUCUGACGAGUCGAGUUGUUUGGGAAUGCAGCU